UUUUAUGAAUAAGCAAAGAAAUUGGUUUCUUGAGAUGGAAACUUUUCCUGGUGAAGAUGCUGUGAA
rnacentral:pre_miRNA from 1 species